AUUGAACGCUGGCAGCAUGCUUUACACAUGCAAGUCGAACGGUAACAGGGUGCUUGCACCGCUGACGAGUGGCGAACGGGUGAGUAAUGCGUCGGAACGUGCCGAGUAGUGGGGGAUAACGCAGCGAAAGUUGUGCUAAUACCGCAUACGUACUGAGGUAGAAAGUGGGGGACCUUCGGGCCUCACGCUAUUCGGGCGGCCGACGUCUGAUUAGCUAGUAGGUGGGGUAAAGGCUCACCUAGGCGACGAUCAGUAGCGGGUCUGAGAGGAUGAUCCGCCACACUGGGACUGAGACACGGCCCAGACUCCUACGGGAGGGAGCAGUGGGGAAUUUUGGACAAUGGGCGAAAGCCUGAUCCAGCCAUGCCGCGUGUCUGAAGAAGGCCUUCGGGUUGUAAAGGACUUUUGUCAGGGAGGAAAUCCCUAGUGCUAAUAACACUGGGGGAUGACAGUACCUGAAGAAUAAGCACCGGCUAACUACGUGCCAGCCGCCGCAGUAA
rnacentral:rRNA from 1 species